rnacentral:rRNA from 1 species
CGGACACAGUAGCCCGUGAGCUGUGCAGAAGGUAGCAUAAUAACUUGUCAUUUAAUUGAUGACUAGAAGAAUGGAWUCCACGUAASAAAUAUUUUAUCCUUCCCUAAAUAAAAAUUAGUAUUCWWGGCGAAUAACCCAAAAUUCUCUUGAAAGACAAAAAGACCCUAAUGAGCUUCAAGACCCCCUCUACCUCUCAUAUCCUAGAGUCCCUCUUUAAGCUGGGAUGACUUAAGAGCACCUAAAACCUCUUUAUCCACUCAGACCAACAUGUACCCCCCCAUGACCCCAUUAAGGCUCACUAAGGGGCUACCAUAGGGAUAACAGGCUANUUUUCCUUGAGAGCCACAUGAAGGGAAGCUUGGCACCUCGC